GCUCUCCAUGUGAGGCCGCAGCGUCUGAUUUCUCACAUGAGUUCUGAAAGUUGUUAUUCUGUAAAGGGGAAGUAUUAUACCACCAGGUGUGAGUGUGAUUAGCCUAACAAGCGGUUUUGAAAAUCUGCCCCAUAUGACAUCACUAGUGGGCGUGUCCACCUAGAUCUGUGCUGUACAGAUCAUUCUACCAGCCUACCCAGUGGACCGAAGUAAACGUUGCUCAUCUAUCCAGCACAGAUCUAGGUGUACACGCCCAGUAGUGAUGUAAUAUGUGUCCGAUUUUGGAAACGGCUUGUAAGGCUAAUCACACUCACACCUGGUGGUAUAAUGUCCCCUUUUAAAAUGAAGAAAAACUGUCUACUGAGGUGUGAGAAUGUUUUUUUUUUUUCAUAUCCUGAUUGUAUCGCUGACCCACCAGGAUCCGCUCGGAUCUACGAUCGCUACGAUGCGACUGCAGAGGUCUCUGGAAGACCAGGAGUCCUUGGCUGAGGAGAGCUGAUGGAGGAGCCGUGCACCUGGAGAACCAUGAGUCUGCCUGCCAACAAGUAGUACUGGGAUAGGGAGGUGAUGGAGGACCUGCCUGGUGAAGGACGUCAGGGUGGGGCGAGUGACACCCGACUCCAAGGGGAUAUCCACUGAGGAGAGAGCUGAAGGAGCCAUGCAUCUGGAAGGUGCAGUUGAAAUGCUGUGUCCAGUCUGGGACAGACAGACCUGAGCUGCGUCAAGCCUGUAUCUCUGACCAGCUGGAGUCCCUUAAUGAUCAACAACCGCCACUCAUCGCUGGCCUGUGGAUUCAUCUCCUUCACACUCACACAACAGGACUUUGGCCUGUGGAUUCAUCUCCUCCACACUCACACAACAGGACUUUGGCCUGUGGAUUCAUCUCCUCCACACUCACACAACAGGACUUUGGCCUGUGGAUUCAUCUCCUCCACACUCACACAACAGGACUUUGGCCUGUGGAUUCAUCUCCUCCACACUCACACAACGUGACCUUGGCCUGUGGAUUCAUCUACUCCACACUCACACAACAGGACUUUGGCCUGUGGAUUCAUCUCCUCCACACUCACACAACAGGACUUUGGCCUGUGGAUUAAUCUCCUCCACACUCACGCAACGUGACCUUCUCACCAUCUGUUGCACGUUUGGAUGCACCUAGCGUGUUCCAUCGAGGGUUCCUUCCUCCCCACGGUGGGAGGGUUCCUUGUCCUUCAAGGCGUCGGGGUUCAGUGUUAGGGACAGAGUUAGGGACAGAUGGCUGCGCUGGAUUCACGAUACACGCUUUGUGAUCAAAAUGGGUUCGGACAUCGGACAAAUCGCUUCCCAAAAUGUUUC